AAAUUGAAGAGUUUGAUCAUGGCUCAGAUUGAACGCUGGCGGCAGGCCUAACACAUGCAAGUCGAACGGUAACAGGAAGCAGCUUGCUGCUUCGCUGACGAGUGGCGGACGGGUGAGUAAUGUCUGGGAAACUGCCUGAUGGAGGGGGAUAACUACUGGAAACGGUGGCUAAUACCGCAUAACGUCGCAAGACCAAAGAGGGGGACCUUCGGGCCUCUUGCCAUCAGAUGUGCCCAGAUGGGAUUAGCUUGUUGGUGAGGUAACGGCUCACCAAGGCGACGAUCCCUAGCUGGUCUGAGAGGAUGACCAGCCACACUGGAACUGAGACACGGUCCAGACUCCUACGGGAGGCAGCAGUGGGGAAUAUUGCACAAUGGGCGCAAGCCUGAUGCAGCCAUGCCGCGUGUAUGAAGAAGGCCUUCGGGUUGUAAAGUACUUUCAGCGGGGAGGAAGGUGUUGUGGUUAAUAACCGCAGCAAUUGACGUUACCCGCAGAAGAAGCACCGGCUAACUCCGUGCCAGCAGCCGCGGUAAUACGGAGGGUGCAAGCGUUAAUCGGAAUUACUGGGCGUAAAGCGCACGCAGGCGGUCUGUCAAGUCGGAUGUGAAAUCCCCGGGCUCAACCUGGGAACUGCAUUCGAAACUGGCAGGCUUGAGUCUUGUAGAGGGGGGGGGGUAGAAUUCCAGGUGUAGCGGUGAAAUGCGUAGAGAUCUGGAGGAAUACCGGUGGCGAAGGCGGCCCCCUGGACAAAGACUGACGCUCAGGUGCGAAAGCGUGGGGAGCAAACAGGAUUAGAUACCCUGGUAGUCCACGCCGUAAACGAUGUCUACUUGGAGGUUGUGCCCUUGAGGCGUGGCUUCCGGAGCUAACGCGUUAAGUAGACCGCCUGGGGAGUACGGCCGCAAGGUUAAAACUCAAAUGAAUUGACGGGGGCCCGCACAAGCGGUGGAGCAUGUGGUUUAAUUCGAUGCAACGCGAAGAACCUUACCUGGUCUUGACAUCCACGGAAGUUUUCAGAGAUGAGAAUGUGCCUUCGGGAACCGUGAGACAGGUGCUGCAUGGCUGUCGUCAGCUCGUGUUGUGAAAUGUUGGGUUAAGUCCCGCAACGAGCGCAACCCUUAUCCUUUGUUGCCAGCGGUUAGGCCGGGAACUCAAAGGAGACUGCCAGUGAUAAACUGGAGGAAGGUGGGGAUGACGUCAAGUCAUCAUGGCCCUUACGACCAGGGCUACACACGUGCUACAAUGGCGCAUACAAAGAGAAGCGACCUCGCGAGAGCAAGCGGACCUCAUAAAGUGCGUCGUAGUCCGGAUUGGAGUCUGCAACUCGACUCCAUGAAGUCGGAAUCGCUAGUAAUCGUGGAUCAGAAUGCCACGGUGAAUACGUUCCCGGGCCUUGUACACACCGCCCGUCACACCAUGGGAGUGGGUUGCAAAAGAAGUAGGUAGCUUAACCUUCGGGAGGGCGCUUACCACUUUGUGAUUCAUGACUGGGGUGAAGUCGUAACAAGGUAACCGUAGGGGAACCUGCGGUUGGAUCACCUCCUUACCUUAAAGAA
rnacentral:rRNA from 1 species